UUGAAAAUAAUUUAAAGUUUAAUCUGCCCACUGAUNAAAUUAUUAAAGGGCUGCAGUAUUUUGACUGUACAAAGGUAGCAUAAUCAUUAGUCUCUUAAUUGGUGACUUGUAUGAAAGAUUGGAUGAAAUAUAUACUGUCUCUAAUUAAUUUAUAAAAUUUAAUUUUUUAGUAAAAAAGCUAAAAUAAGUUUAAAAGACGAGAAGACCCUAUAGAGUUUAAUAAUUUAUUUAAUUAUUAUUAAUAUGUAAAUUUUAAAAUUAAAAUUAAAUAAAUUAUUUUGUUGGGGUGAUAGAAAAAUUAAAUUAACUUUUUUUUAUUUUUAAACAUAAAUUUAUGAAUAGAUGAUCCAUUAAUAAUGAUUAAAAGAAAAAAUUACCUUAGGGAUAACAGCGUAAUUUUUUUUUUUAGUUCAAAUAGGAAAAAAAGUUUGCGACCUCGAUGUUGGAUUAAGAUAAAAUUUAAAUGCAAAAGUUUAAAAUUUUGAUCUGUUCGAUCAUUAAAAUCUUA
rnacentral:rRNA from 1 species